UUGUCCGUUCUGUGUCUGCUGUGACCCACAGACCGCUUCACUCACCUGGACACCACGGCUCAUCUGGGGAGCUUCGGGGGUUCCCUGUGUUGGCAGCAGCUGUUGCCUCCAAGUUCAUUUUCUAAGAUCGUUGUGAUGCGGUCGUUCAUCUAAAAGUCCUAGCGGCUUGCUGGCACAGGAGGGGCACUGUGUCAUGUUGCUGUACAAAGUGAAACAGCUGCCACAUUCUGCUUCUCGAAGACACAUCCCAGAAUGGGCUGUCUCUUCUGAGAGGACAACAUAGCCUCCAACUUGGCAGAGUGGGCUCUUUUUGCAACUGGCGUCUUACCCAGAAGCACCCCGUGGAGGCAGCAUGGCCUCUCCCUGUUGCAGGGCUCUGGGAGCGAGGCCCGGUGCCUCCUUUGCACCCAAAUUUUCACAGAGAAGCACCCUGCCAAGCACCCAAGAGCUUGAGUAGGAAUCCCAGGGUACUGUAAAAUGCAAUAUAAUUUUCCAGCGACCCUGGGUACGAGCAGCAAGUGCACCGUAAUCGCUACUCACAGCUCAAGAGAAAAGGGCUAGUGAAGCUGCACACCUUCACUUCACCAUCAAAACCAAAAAUAAUGGCCAUGGCUUCAGGUCACAACUUUCUGAUGCCCUUUGUUUCAACAGUGAACUCCGAAAAAUCAGGAUCUUUAUAUGAUAUCUCAUCUUGGUCACACAAAAAGUGAAUGAACCUAAAUCACUGGUUGUUUUGAAAGUCUUUGCUAAGUUACCUUUUAUCCAGAUCACAGACAUCAUCUAUCCCACAUGAACCAGAAAUGUUCAAGCAGUGAUAGUAUUUGUUGUGGUGUAUUUAUUCCUGUAUCAUUUGUGCUCUAGUCACCACUUUUUCCUCUGAUAACUGUAAGUUUCAAAGGUCAGAAUUCAUUAACAAAGUUAAAGACUGUAUAAUAAGUAAACAAUGCUACGAA